rnacentral:rRNA from 1 species
GACGAACGCUGGCGGCGUGCCUAAUACAUGCAAGUAGAACGCUGAAGGAGGAGCUUGCUUCUCUGGAUGAGUUGCGAACGGGUGAGUAACGCGUAGGUAACCUGCCUGGUAGCGGGGGAUAACUAUUGGAAACGAUAGCUAAUACCGCAUAAUAUUGACUAUUGCAUGAUAGUCAGUUGAAAGGUGCAACUGCACCACUACCAGAUGGACCUGCGUUGUAUUAGCUAGUUGGUGGGGUAACGGCUCACCAAGGCGACGAUACAUAGCCGACCUGAGAGGGUGAGCGGCCACACUGGGACUGAGACACGGCCCAGACUCCUACGGGAGGCAGCAGUAGGGAAUCUUCGGCAAUGGACGGAAGCCUGGCCGAGCAACGCCGCGUGAGUGAAGAAGGGUCUCGGAUCGUUAAGCACGGUUGUAAGAGAAGAACGAGUGUGAGAGUGGAAAGAUCACAGUGUGACGGUAUCUUACCAGAAAGGGACGGCUAACUACGUG